UGCAAUUCUCUGUAGAUGCACCCUGGAAUAGGGCUCCCUCCUCUCUGAUUCUGGGUGUGUCACCCGAGAACCACC
rfam:Myotis davidii contig207561, whole genome shotgun sequence.